GGCUUGGUAACGUUGGAAGCGCAUCUGCGUUCAAUUACAAUUUUCAAGUGCGCGCUGAGUACUGAGCAGACAACGCCGGUUCGACUCCGGCCUGAGUCA